rnacentral:lncRNA from 1 species
CUACAAGUCCCUCAAGAGCAGGGGCUAAGCCUUAGUCAUCUCCUGAUUUCUCACCUUCAGCCUGGUGCCUGUGCAGAAUGAGAUUAUUUCAGGCUCUUCUGACCCAUGAUCUAACCUGAGACGAAGGAAUAGGUGUGGCUUCCCCAAUGGUGAAUUGAAUUGAAUUGAAUUGAAUUGAAUUGAAUGAAGAUCUGAGAAUGUAAGAUGAGGUCACAGGAUAAAAGUGGGGAAGCAGUCGGCUAUAAAAUAAAAAGAAGAAAUCUUGAGAACUUUUAAGGUCCAACUGGGCAUGUCAACGUACAUUCCCAACUGCGGCUCACGCAAACAUUACAACGAGCUUAUUCUCCCUGAGACCAGAGAGAGAACCCGCUGUGCAAGUCAUCGGGCUGGAUUUAAAAGUCACCAAAGAAAUAUGAAUAUGG